UACGUAGGGGGCAAGCGUUGUCCGGAAUCAUUGGGCGUAAAGAGCGUGUAGGCGGUUCAGUAAGUCUGCUGUGAAAGUCCAGGGCUCAACCCUGGGAUGCCGGUGGAUACUGCUGGACUAGAGUGCGGAAGAGGCGAGUGGAAUUCCCGGUGUAGCGGUGAAAUGCGCAGAUAUCAGGAGGAACACCGGUGGCGAAGGCGGUUCUCUGGGCAUGUCCUGACGCUGAGGAGCGAAAGUGUGGGGAGCGAACAGG
rnacentral:rRNA from 1 species